rnacentral:rRNA from 1 species
UACGUAGGGACCAAGCGUUGUUCGGAUUUACUGGGCGUAAAGGGCGCGUAGGCGGCUUAACAAGUCACUUGUGAAAUCUCCGGGCUUAACCUGGGAACUGCAGUCGAGACUGUCUAGCUAGAGUAUGGGAGAGGGAAGUGGAAUUUCAGGUGUAGCGGUGAAAUGCGUAGAUAUCUGAAGGAACAUCAGUGGCGAAAGCGACUUCCUGGACCAAUACUGACGCUCAUGUGCGAAAGCGUGGGGAGCAAACAGG